UUACGAGCUGUCAGUGAUCUCUCCCCCUCUACUAGAAACAGGACAGCUUGUGAACGCGAAAAAGCGACACUCAAUUCUUUUAUGUGACCGCCCAUUGAUGUCAUUUGGUGACAACUGGGCGGUCUUGACACGAAGGCGAGAACGGACGGGGUGGAAGAAUGAAUGAAGCGAUUGAUGAUAUGCGCGGAGGGGGACUGAUGCUGCAAC
ensembl:ncRNA R03D7.9 ncRNA